GGAAAUUAAGCUUUCUUCAAAACCGAGUUUUGGCGUUUAGUCGUCAUGGGUGGGUUCGAAUCCAACAUACUUCCGCCA
rnacentral:tRNA from 1 species